AACGAACGCUGGCGGCAUGCCUAACACAUGCAAGUCGAACGAGACCUUCGGGUCUAGUGGCGCACGGGUGCGUAACGCGUGGGAACCUGCCCUUAGGUUCGGAAUAACUCCCCGAAGGGGGUUCUAAUCCCGGAUAAUGUCUUCGGACCAAAGAUUUAUCGCCUUUGGAUGGGCCCGCGUUGGAUUAGCUAGUUGGUAGGGUAAAAGCCUACCAAGGCGACGAUCCAUAGCUGGUCUGAGAGGAUGAUCAGCCACACUGGGACUGGGACACGGCCCAGACUCCUACGGGAGGCAGCAGUGGGGAAUAUUGGACAAUGGGCGAAAGCCUGAUCCAGCAAUGCCGCGUGAGUGAUGAAGGCCUUAGGGUUGUAAAGCUCUUUUACCCGGGAUGAUAAUGACAGUACCGGGAGAAUAAGCUCCGGCUAACUCCGUG
rnacentral:rRNA from 1 species